UUGAUCAGGGACGCCCCGAAACGCUCUCUGCAAACAACCCCGAAGGGCACAUUGACGCUAUUUGACUACUUGGGAAAGAAGCUUCUUUCCGCCCAGAUCUCCGCGUUAUUAGCAGUUGCACCGGGUGGCUCCGUUCCGGAGAAGCCGGGCGGCGCAGGUGACCUGCGGUGGUUUCCCCGCACCUCGUGCGGAAGUUCAGUUUCCGUUUUGGCAGCAACGAAGACGAAGAGGAGACGAAGAGGAGACGAAGAGGAGACGAAGAGGAGGAGGCCAGGCCGUCUGGGUUCUGCCGCGUCCCCCAGGGGGGGCGCUGGCUCUGCGCCUAAGGAGUGGCUCCGCCCAUACCUGGCCCGGGGCGCCAGCCUCCAAAUUGCAGAAGUCGCCCUUUGGUGGCCGCUGCGCUGCGUCAUUUGGGAGGGCGGUUUGGAAGUUCCGCAAGGCUGCGGGGUUCCGGAGGGAAGAAGGCUGGAGGACCGUGGUGGCCCAUCCCCUGCGCCGGGGGUCCCCACGUGUGGGCGCGUGGCCCAGCUCCCCCAAAGCCACGCGUCUGUGCCUCACCUCCGUGGGAGGAGAGCCACAAGAGCUGGGGGGAGAGGGAGCUGCAGAGCGGGAGCAGCUAAGGGGGAGAGACGGAGAAUUUUCUGGAAGAGGGAGGCGGCCCAGACGCUGCUGUGGUUCUGUUACAAAGACCACUUCCUCCCUGACCCAGCUGACGGCACUCUGUGUGCCUGUGGUGGUUUGUCCAAGGGCUGAAAGAUCAGGGCCACGGGCCACCACGUGCUGGCAGAACCCAGAGGCGCCGGUGUGCGUGCGUCUGCCAGGAAGUUCCUGCCAAGGGGCCCUGUGUCAUAGGGACUCUUCUCCGGCCGUAGCUCGUCUGGCCCCCAAAGCACCAAAGAGGGUGCGAGCUGAGCCGUGGACGUACAGCAAGAAAAGAACAGGGAUUUAAUCUUGCUAUCUAAAAAAAUAAGAAAUUAAGCUUUGCUCGGUUUUAAUACACAAGUCGAGAGCGGUGUGUGUGUUAUACCCGUCACAGGGUUGCACGAUCAGAUCUUCUGGUUGAUGGGGUGUGAGAUCAUAAAUGUUUCCAGACCAUGGCUGUAAAGAAAAACUAGCGUAAAGGAUAACUGAUGCUGGCGGAUUGAAACGCCCGAUGCAGAUUUUUCAGCACAAAAUAUGACUGCUGAGUGAUGCAGAUGGUUCGAGAUCGGGGCGGGGGGGGGGGGUUGAUAAACGGGUAUCGCGGCUGGGUGUGGCCCAUCGGCUCCAACGGGGCCCCGGUUAACGGUCUACGAGGGUAGAGCCGAGUCAGGGUUUGAGAGAUAAAAAGAAUCUUGACCUUGACUCUGUUCACGUGUGCAAGGCGUAGUCCAAAGCCCUGUUCCCAGAUGAUGAGCACAGCUAGAACAGAGCUUGAUUUCUGGAGAAAAAUCUCAGUUAAACUGACCCAAGAUUCUUCCCCAUGAUGCUGGUGGAGAAAAGCAAAAGGGAAAAUACGAGUCCCUUUCUCCAUGAGCACACAGAGUGUUGUGCGUCACAUUGAACACAGCAGAGUGACUUGUCGACAAAUCGGGCAAGUGCCUCAGAAUCAGACCUGGGAAAUGAAGAGAGCCAAGAUGGGUCUGCCAAUUUUGUCUCGUAGAAAGAACGGCACAAACCCUCCACAAAAGAAAAUUUGGAGUAAUAAUAAUUUGUCCGCAGGAAAGGCAUUUCCACUGGGGACUGUAAGAAGGAAGACAUUGGAGAGAUGAAGAAAACUGAGGCUCAGUGCACUCACGCGGCGGCAGAGUAGGCAUCGGACCCAGGCUUUGUGCCUUUAAAGAGCGUGUGAACAUCCAUCCGGCUCCACCUCAAGGGACGGCCCUGUCACUGACCAAUGCCACUUGAGUUCAGCCUGGCGGUGGCUCUCUGCCAAGGAGGGACAUAUGCGUGGGGAGCUGUGGAUCGAAGGCGGGUCAGAGACUCUGGAUCGGAAAAAGACUGGCUUGAGCUAGAUCGAGGGACAGGAGUUGGGAGUUUCAUUCCAAUCCAGACAGACCCGGCUGACUUGAGACAACAGGCAGGAAUGAUUGAAGGACUGAUCCAAUGUCACAUUACUAUACCGUUCUCUCUAAUGAGCAAAUUCCUUAGAUAAUUAAGCAUUUUGAAAAACUGCAUCACCCAGCCCCAACCAGUACUCAAAUACAAACAAAACCAGAAGCAUGUGAAUGAGGAGGACGUAGGGGCGAUCUUUGGCAUUAAUAGAUCGUCAAAUUGUUGGAGCCCCAGGUAUUAGAUCCCAUCAGACAUAGAGCAUUAUUCAAUUACAUAAAUAAUAACGUGACCUAGUUUUCUAGGGUCACAUUCUCAGUCCCAAGGCUGUGGGUUUGUUCCUCUAAUACGUAAUAGCUGUGACGUUGGGGCGCUCCAUAGCUGCGUACGGGACCUGUUUGUUCGCUGAGUACUUCACCCCAAAUGAUGAGUCGGUUCAAGGCUCCUGCCCUUCCUCCGGGUCUGAUUCUGAGGCGCUUGCCGGGUUUGUGGACAGGUCACUGUGCUGUGUUCAAUAUGAUGCACCACACCAUCAAUGUGUUCGUGGAGAAAAGGACUCGUAUUUUCCCUUUUGUUUUUCUCCACCUUUGGGAAUGAGACACAGAAGUACUUACGUAAGUACUACUGUGUCCGCUAGAUCAGUGAAACCCCUGGGUACCCAGCAAGCUCAGCGGGGCUGUGCUCUCUCCCCUGUGCCUGUAUCCCAGGGUAGGAUACGCUGCUUUCUUACCUUUAAUUUCAUUGACUUCUCCGGUGGCGGGUCUUUUGAUCAUCAGAGGGACAUGAAACUUCCUGUGGCCAGGGACACGGCACAUCCUCUCUGGGUUCUCUGCGGGGGAUGGACCAGGGCUCGGUCAUUCCAGAGUUCUCAAUGGUACCACUGAGGCAUGAGACGCUAUCAGUCUGAAUAAGGGUCCGUCGCCGAUUUAGGAGGAAAGUCAUGAGAACCAGAUCA